rnacentral:miRNA from 1 species
UCAUACCACACUCUCAUUCU